rnacentral:rRNA from 1 species
UACGUAGGCAGCGAGCGUUGUUCGGAAUUACUGGGCGUAAAGCGCACGUAGGCGGCUUUGUAAGUUAGAGGUGAAAGCCCAGGGCUCAACCCUGGAAUUGCCUUUAAGACUGCAUCGCUUGAACAUCGGAGAGGUAAGUGGAAUUCCGAGUGUAGAGGUGAAAUUCGUAGAUAUUCGGAAGAACACCAGUGGCGAAGGCGACUUACUGGACGAUUGUUGACGCUGAGGUGCGAAAGCGUGGGGAGCAAACAGG